GGCAGUGGUCACUCAGUGGUUAUGAUGUUGGACUGCUGCUCGGAAAGUUGAGUUCAAAUCCCAGCACUGCCA